rnacentral:rRNA from 1 species
AGAGUUUGAUCAUGGCUCAGGAUAAACGCUGGCGGCGUGCCUAACACAUGCAAGUCGAACGAAGCAGUAGCAAUACUGACUGAGUGGCGGAAGGGUGAGUAACACGUAGGAAUCUGCCUCAUCGGAGGGAACAACCAGUCGAAAGAUUGGCUAAAUACCCAAAAGGAUUGGCGACAAUCAGAGUCGAAAGGCCUGGUGAGAGGAGCCUGCGGCCCAUCAGCUAGUUGGCAGGGUAAUGGCCUACCAAGGCAACGACGGGUAGGGGGUCUGAGAGGACGUCCCCCACACUGGAACUGAAACACGGUCCAGACGCCUACGGGUGGCAGCAGUGAGGAAUAUUGGUCAAUGGGCGAAAGCCCGAACCAGCAACGCCGCGUGGAGGAUGAAGGUUUUCGGACUGUAAACUUCUUUUCGGGGAGACGAGAAAGGACGGUAUCCCCGGAAUAAGCCACGGCAAACUACGUG